rnacentral:lncRNA from 1 species
CAGGGAAGAGAGAACUCCUGAUCUUAAUCCUGAAAAAGGAGCAGGAAUUUUCCAAGUAGACAAGGAGCGGAAGGGCAUUCCAAGCAGAGAAACAUCAUGAGUAAGGAGACAAAGGCCUGACGAAGAGAGGUGCCCCUGAGGAGUUGCAGAAGGGACACAUCAAGAGGAGAGCUUGAAGUCCCAAACCUAGCAUUUCAGGAGCAUGAAAUCAAAGUGGUGCAGCAGAACUCCUGCGACACACAUUAGGAACCAGAUGAGAGCCGACUUGAAGACAGGGUGGACAAGUCAGACAGAAGUCCCCACAAGCCACAGCUAGCUGCACAGUGUGGACAAAAAUAACCCCCAGGACUCAAAGAAUGUUAGAGCUACAUGAAACGCAGCAAUGCAGGCAGACUCUCCUCCCCUGCUGGGUGGUACAGUCCUGGAGAACCUUGCGUUCACACUGAGUCAAUGGCAGAGCCGGGGUCAGCACUCCGUUCUCCUGACUCCCUCUCCAGUGCGCAUUCCUGAGGGCUGAGGUCGUCAUUGUUUUCAGCACAGUGCAACUGCUGACGUGCACGAAGAAGACCAGCACAUCAAGAGGUGAAACUGGGUUUGCCUCAGGCACCCCAAAAGACUGGAAGGCUUGUUAACUACGCGAUGAAUACACCUGUCACUUCCAAUUCGAACCUGACUUUCUGUUGUGAUGGCUGUAGAAUUUGGUAUCUAUGGCAACUUUUCAGUGGCUCCACAUCGAUUAAAAAAUGAUUGGCUUAUCAGGGUCGCUUGGGUUGAUUGAUGGAAAUGAUCAGUUGCUUAAAAUAAUCAUGACAGAUAGUCUCUUAAUUAGCCCGCAUUUGCAAGAGUCAGAAAUUUUAGAUUUCAUUACAUUUUUUAUUAUUAUUUCCAUGCAAAAGUAACUGAAAUUCAAUUCUACCAAAGCAGUUACAAGUUAAUUUGGACCGUCUCGCUGAAGGAAACUUGAUUCAAUCCACACAUCUUAUUUGGAAGCCAAAUGGCACA